GAUGAAGAACGUAGCGAAAUGCGAUAAGUAAUGCGAAUUGCAGAAUUCAGUGAAUCAUCGAAUCUUUGAACGCACAUUGCGCCCCCUGGAAUUCCGGGGGGCAUGCCUGUUCGAGCGUCUCAGGGACGAACCCUCGCGCGGGUGUACGCGCGGUCGUGGCUGCGGUGGCGUGCCCGAGGCGGCGGCCACCGCGCUGGAAUCCAUGGGCGGACGCCUGCCGCGUGGCCGAGCGUGAUAUGACGCAUUGGCGCUCGCACGCGGAGAGGCUGCCAGCCCUGGCCCGUCUGUCGGGCGGGGGAGAGCAAGACACGUGAACUCCUCGAAUCAGGUAGGGAUACCCGCUGAACUUAAGCAUAUCAAUAAGCGGAGGA
rnacentral:misc_RNA from 1 species